UAGUCCACGCCGUAAACGAUGGUCACUAGUUGUUGGGGCUUUAUGCCUCAGUGAUUAAGAGAAAUUGAUAAGUGACCCACCUGGGGAGUACGAUCGCAAGAUUGAAACUCAAAGGAAUUGACGGGGCCCCGCACAAGCAGCGGAGCGUGUGGUUUAAUUCGAUGAUACACGAAGAACCUUACCUGGGUUUGACAUGUACGUGGUAUUGAUGCGAAAGCUGAGAGACCCUUCGGGGAGCGUACACAGGUGCUGCAUGGCUGUCGUCAGCUCGUGCCGUGAGGUGUCGGGUUAAGUCCCGUAACGAGCGCAACCCUUGCCCCUAGUUACAAGUGUCUAGGGGGACUGCCGGUGAUAAAUCGGAGGAAGGUGGGGAUGACGUCAAGUCAGCAUGGCCUUUAUAUCCAGGGCUACACACACACUACAAUGGCCGGUACAAUGGGUAGCGAAGCCGCGAGGAAGAGCGAAUCUCGAAAGCCGGUCGUAGUUCGAAUUGUAGG
rnacentral:rRNA from 1 species